rnacentral:rRNA from 1 species
GUAACAGCCCGGUAGUUGAAAUGGCUUUCCCUCCAGAGUGGAUCCUGAGUACGGCGGAACACGUGAAAUUCCGUCGGAAUCCGGGAGGACCAUCUCCCAAGGCUAAAUACUCCCUAGUGACCGAUAGUGAACCAGUACCGUGAGGGAAAGGUGAAAAGCACCCCGGAAGGGGAGUGAAACAGUUCCUGAAACCGUGUGCCUACAAGUAGUUAGAGCCCGUUAAUGGGUGAUAGCGUGCCUUUUGUAGAAUGAACCGGCGAGUUACGAUUUGUUGCAAGGUUAAGCGGAAAAAGCGGAGCCGUAGCGAAAGCGAGUCUGAAUAGGGCGCAUAAGUAACAGGUCGUAGACCCGAAACCAGGUGAUCUACCCAUGUCCAGGAUGAAGGUAAGGUAAUACUUACUGGAGGUCCGAACCCACGCACGUUGAAAAGUGCGGGGAUGAGGUGUGGGUAGCGGAGAAAUUCCAAUCGAACUUGGAGAUAGCUGGUUCUCUCCGAAAUAGCUUUAGGGCUAGCCUCGAGGUAAAGAGUCAUGGAGGUAGAGCACUGUUUGGACUAGGGGCCCUUCUCGGGUUACCGAAUUCAGAUAAACUCCGAAUGCCAUGUACUUAUACUCGGGAGUCAGACUGCGAGUGAUAAGAUCCGUAGUCGAAAGGGAAACAGCCCAGACCACCAGUUAAGGUCCCCAAAUAUAUGUUAAGUGGAAAAGGAUGUGGGGUUGCUUAGACAACCAGGAUGUUGGCUUAGAAGCAGCCACCAUUGAAAGAGUGCGUAAUAGCUCACUGGUCGAGUGACCCCGCGCCGAAAAUGUACCGGGGCUAAACAUAUUACCGAAACUGUGGAUGAACCUCUUUAGAGGUUCGUGGUAGGAGAGCGUUCUAAGGGCGGUGAAGUCAGACCGGAAGGACUGGUGGAGCGCUUAGAAGUGAGAAUGCCGGUAUGAGUAGCGAAAGAAGGGUGAGAAUCCCUUCCACCGAAUAUCUAAGGUUUCCUGAGGAAGGCUCGUCCGCUCAGGGUUAGUCGGGACCUAAGCCGAGGCCGAUAGGCGUAGGCGAUGGACAACAGGUAGAGAUUCCUGUACCAGUGCUAAUUGUUUAACCGAUGGGGUGACACAGAAGGAUAGGGAAUCGCACGAAUGGAAAUGUGCGUCCAAGCAGUGAGUGUGAGAAGUAGGCAAAUCCGCUUCUCGCGAAGCAUGAGCUGUGAUGGGGAAGGAAAUUAAGUACGGAAGUUCCUGAUUUCACGCUGUCAAGAAAAGCCUCUAGGAAGAGUAGUACUGCCCGUACCGCAAACCGACACAGGUAGAUGAGGAGAGAAUCCUAAGGUGAGCGAGAGAACUCUCGUUAAGGAACUCGGCAAAAUGACCCCGUAACUUCGGGAGAAGGGGUGCUCUAUUAGGGUGCAAGCCCGAGAGAGCCGCAGUGAAUAGGCCCAGGCGACUGUUUAGCAAAAACACAGGUCUCUGCAAAACCGUAAGGUGACGUAUAGGGGCUGACGCCUGCCCGGUGCUGGAAGGUUAAGAGGAGUGCUUAGCUUCGGCGAAGGUACGAAUUGAAGCCCCAGUAAACGGCGGCCGUAACUAUAACGGUCCUAAGGUAGCGAAAUUCCUUGUCGGGUAAGUUCCGACCCGCACGAAAGGCGCAACGAUCUGGGCACUGUCUCAACGAGAGACUCGGUGAAAUUAUAGUACCUGUGAAGAUGCAGGUUACCCGCGACAGGACGGAAAGACCCCGUGGAGCUUUACUGCAACCUGAUAUGGAAUGUUUGUACCGCUUGUACAGGAUAGGUAGGAGCCGAAGAGACGUGUGCGCUAGCAUACGAGGAGGCAAUGGUGGGAUACUACCCUGGCUGUAUGACCAUUCUAACCCGCCACGCUUAGCGCGUGGGGAGACAGUGUCAGGUGGGCAGUUUGACUGGGGCGGUCGCCUCCUAAAGAGUAACGGAGGCGCCCAAAGGUUCCCUCAGAAUGGAUGGAAAUCAUUCGCAGAGUGUAAAGGCACAAGGGAGCUUGACUGCGAGACUGACAAGUCGAGCAGGGACGAAAGUCGGGCUUAGUGAUCCGGUGGUUCCGCAUGGAAGGGCCAUCGCUCAACGGAUAAAAGCUACCCCGGGGAUAACAGGCUUAUCUCCCCCAAGAGUCCACAUCGACGGGGAGGUUUGGCACCUCGAUGUCGGCUCGUCGCAUCCUGGGGCUGUAGUCGGUCCCAAGGGUUGGGCUGUUCGCCCAUUAAAGCGGCACGCGAGCUGGGUUCAGAACGUCGUGAGACAGUUCGGUCCCUAUCCGUCGCGGGCGCAGGAAAUUUGAGAGGAGCUGUCCUUAGUACGAGAGGACCGGGAUGGACACACCGCUGGUGUACCAGUUGUUCCGCCAGGAGCAUCGCUGGGUAGCUAUGUGUGGCAGGGAUAAACGCUGAAAGCAUCUAAGCGUGAAGCCCCCCUCAAGAUGAGAUUUCCCAUUUCUUCGGAAAGUAAGAUCCCUGAAAGAUGAUCAGGUAGAUAGGUUUGGAGUGGAAGUGUAGCGAUACAUGGAGCGGACAAAUACUAAUCGAUCGAGGACUUAACCAA